rnacentral:rRNA from 1 species
GACGAACCGUGCGAACGUUAUUCGGAAUCAUUGGGCUUAAAGCGCGUGUAGGCGGAUUCGUGCGUCUGUCGUUGAAAUCCCCCGGCUCAACCGGGGAAGUGGCGCGGAUACGACGAGUCUGGAGGGGCAUAGGGGGACCUGGAACUUCCGGUGGAGCGGUGAAAUGUGUAGAGAUCGGGAGGAACACCGGUGGCGAAGGCGGGUCUCUGGGCAUCUCCUGACGCUGAGGCGCGAAAGCGUGGGGAGCAAACGGG